rnacentral:tRNA from 1 species
CACUAAGAAGCUAYUAUAGCAUUAACCU